GUUCUUUCUCAAUGACAGAUCACUGGUAAAUGUAUAAUUAAAAGAGAGCUUAAUUCCAAUUUGUCUUCAUUUCUCCUUGAAAUAAUUUCAUAGCUGUCAGAUGGACCUUCUCCAUUCCAAUGUGUUCCUCUUUGCCAAUGACCACAAUUGUUCUUUUAUUUAUGAAUUAUGGCAAUGUCAUCUUGUGAGAAGAACCUACUUUCAAAUUCUGCCUUUGUCGUGCUGUGAAAUCUUGCACAAAUAGUUAAUAGCCCCCAACUUCGGUUUUCUCAUCUGUAAAGUGGCAGUGAGAGUAUUUAUUUUGCAGAGUUGGCAUGAAAUUCAAGUGACAUAGUGCAUUGGAAAAUGUUUUGUUGGCUGAAAAAUGGAAUCUACAUUGAUGUUGAAUUAGCCAUCAUGGUCCUCUAGCUCCUUUGAAUACAGUGCUUGUGAUGAGGCCUCAUACUUGCAGGGAUAACUUGCAGGGAAAAUGCAAACUUGGCAAAGGCAUGUGAAGAAAACUUUGGCAAACAGUGCCAUGUCUGUCCUCUGCACUGGAGCCAAAGCCAUGGGAAUGUGCUGCCUUAUCAGUAAGGAGUUGGCUUGGUGGGGUUAAAGUCACACAAAAGUGCUGAUUCACCCAGACAUGUGUCCUGUACAAAUAGAGAGCAAUAGGUAUGUGGAUUAAUUUUCUUUCAGUUGGCCCAGUCCUACUUCUGUUCACUGCUAUGACUUCAACUUAUUUCUCUAGACCUUAGAACCUGGUCUCCUGACUCCUUAAUCAUGCUCUGGUCCAAAUUGUCCACCAAAAAGGCUUUUUUGAUCACUGUACAGACUUCUUUCUAUUUUCCGCCACCAUCCUGUUUUCCUUAAUUUCAAUCUUAGGGUAAAAAGACUUGAACUCCUCCAUUGCUGCCUCUUCCUGCCCAGGAAGGCCUGGGAUGUCACUGCUAUAGCUUCAGAUAAUUGUUAAUCAAGUCUUUAAGGCCUCUGUUAUCC
rnacentral:lncRNA from 1 species